GGAUGUGAGGGCGAUCUGGCUGCGACAUGUGUCACCCCAUUGAUCGCCAGGGUUGAGUCGGCUGAUCUGGCUGGCUAGGCAGGUGUCCCCCUCCUCCCUCACCGAUCCAUGUGCGUCCCUCCUGAAGCUGCGAGCUCGGUCGAAGAGGAAGACCUCCCCCCCCGCCCCAGGAGAGGACCGGUCUUCGGUCAAGGGUAUACGAGUAGCUGCGCUCCCCUGCUAGAACCUCCAAACAAGCUCCCAAAAUGGAAACUGGAAGUCCAACAACUUCAAUUACUUCACAAGCAAAUUAGCUUCUUU
ensembl:misc_RNA 7SK 7SK RNA